GCCCAGUUAACAGACUGCUUCUCUCGUGCAGUGCAAAUCUUGACUGAAUUUAAUCCCCAAAACCCUUCCCCUGCAAUCCCAGUUUCUCAUGUUCCCUCUCCUACAGAAAACCAAAUUCCAACGCAAAGGAGAUCUUGUCCUCCUAGAGAAACCUGUCCUUGUCAAACUGAGCCACAGGUGCUAAACUCAACUAGAGGCCUGUUUCCUCUAAGAGAAGUACCUGAAAUAGGACGGAAUGGGGAUGUGGUGACUUUAAGACAUAGGAUACCGUUUACUCCCCAAGAAAUAAAUGAAUUUACACGAAAUAUCCCCACAUAUGAACAAGAUCCUUUUCUAGUAACAAAAAAGAUGGGAGACAUAUUUUUUCAGUAUAAUCCGUCUUACAAGGACGUUGAGAACUUACUACAGGCUUUUUUAAGUGAAUGUGAAAAAAAUAAAAUAAUUGCUCAUGUCAACAAAACCCGGGGGCGUAAUGCAGCACAUUGGCCAUCUCAGGAUCCCGAAUGGGACUAUAACAAUCCUGAGGAUUAUCUACAACUAUACCGUUGUAGAGAGGCCAUCCUCACGGCAAUGAAGGAAUGUGCAGACAGUACAGAUAAGUGGAUGGAACUUGAAAAAAUUAAGCAAAAGGAAGAAGAAACACCUUCCAGAUUUAUGGAUAAAAUAAUCGAGUUUGGGGACAGAUACUUAGAUUGGGAUCUAACUAAAGAGAGUAGUUUAAGACAAGUUAGAAGGAUCUUUGUAAAUAACUCUUGCAAAGCAAUUAAGAAUUAUUUUAGAAUGCAAUGCCCAAGAUGGUCAGAUAUGGACCUUGAAGAAUUGCGGAAAACAGCUAUAUAUGUUUUAAAGGGAAACAAAGAAAAGGAGGAAGAAAAUAAUGAUGACAUGGAGGAAAUGAAGAAAAAAAUAAGAUAUUUAAUAGAUAGGAUAACUAAAUUAGAAAGUGGGCAUGAUAAUGAACCAACGACAAUUGCCCCUCUCCAUAAAUCCAAUUAUCAAUCCAUUACUUGCCACUUCUGUGAGAAGAAGGGCCACAAAAUGAUGGAAUGUAGAACCUUUCUUAAGAUGUUUGGAAGGAAUACACAGUUUAAUAAUAGCUUUAGAAAUAAUAACUAUAGAAAUGAUGAUAAUGGUUAUAGAAACCAGAAUUCUAGAAAUUAUAAUA
rnacentral:lncRNA from 1 species